GGCACAUCCCGUUCAUGAAAAUGAAAGCACAAUAUUUAUCACAAAACUAGAUAAUUAUUCUGCAGUGAAGCUGUUUUCACUGUUUAUAUAUUUGCAUACUGUCAUGUUCUCAAUACAGGAGUGAAAACUUUUUACAUCAGCAUUAGGAUCAAUGUGAGGCUACAGUUUUGAGACAUAGCAAUUUACCAACAAAAAGGAUUGAUAUAGCAUUUUAGUACCAAUCCAACAUAAAUGAGUAUACGCUAUUCAGAAUGUACAUUUAUUGAUCUUAAACAGUUAAAAGAAUAUGUAUAAAUUUUAUGAUAUUGUAAUAUAUUUGUGUAGUUUCUAAAGGGAAGAAUAUUCUCCACAUGACAUCUUUCAGCCUGCACCAUAGCCACUUCAAUGUAGGAUCUGAGCUGCAUCUGAGACCUACACCACAGCUCACGGCAACCCCGGAUCCUUUUAACCCACUGAGCAAAGUCCAGGGAUAGAACCUGCAACCUCAUGGUUCCUAGUCGGAUUCGUUUCUGCUGCGCCACGACGUGAACUCCUUCUUUUUUUUUUUUUAAUUUUUGUUUUCAUUUUCUAGCUUGAGGAAAGACAUGGGGAAAAUCUCUCAUCAGAAAGAACUCCCUACUCACUGUACAUCAGGAAAGAAGUGAAAAUAUUGGCAUUUCAGCAACUAGAUGGAAUCUUUUUAUGAUUAAUAUACUAUUUUCAGAGAGGAGAAUUCAAAAACUAUAAGAUAUCUUGCAUUUUUCAGAUGUCAUUUUGGUGACAUCACAUAGAGUAAUUCUCCCACUUCUGGUUCAUAGGUCUUUUUUUGCUGCAUUUAAAAAUCAUAUUUAAAAUUUUUGCCAAGCCAUUGGUAAGAGAAUAUGAAAAGAAUAUUGAAAAAGAAUGCCAGUUUCAUUUUCCCUUUUAGAUCUUCCAGCUUUUAAGUUUGUAUCUGUCUGGCUUAUUGUUAGCAGCAAAGGCCUUUCACUAAUCCUACAAUUGUUUCUUAAGCAUGAGCUCCUGUCAGGCACAUUUCAGCCUUUGGGGGCACAGUGGGCAAUGACACACAUGACUUUUACAAAUGGCUGCAGUGUGGGAGGUUAGAACUAAUUUUUUUUUUAAUUAUAUAAAUAUAAAAACUACAUGUAUAGAACCAUAUAAACUAUAUAAAUAAUAAUAUUUUAGUUGCAACAAGUGCUUGGAUGAAAAUGAAACUGGACUGUAUGACUCAAAAAGAAAGGUGGUUAGACUGCUAAUCUAGAAUGGAUAGGUAAGGAAAUCCUCCUUAUAAGGUAACAUUUAAGCCCAAACCACAAAACUAAAACAUCUCAAGGGUAGGACAAAGUUUUGGCAGAGAGCCUUCCAAAACAGGACCCUGAAAGUGUUGAGGAUUGAAUGGGAUUUUCUCUUGCAGAGGAGAAGGAAGACUACUGAAUGUGGAGCCUGGUGAGUGAGACUGAUUAUGGUGGGAGAUGAGGGCAAUGGACAGCAGAUCACUCAGCACUUUGUUCUGAAAAUAAGGAGUCCAGGUUUUAGUUUAAGCAGAAGGAAAUUAUGGUAUAAGGUUUAAAGCAAGGGGAUAUGCCAAGCUCUCCUUUAUAAUGCUGAUGGAUCACUCUGGCUCAAGUAGAGAUGGAUUUCAAGAGGGCCCCAUCCUCGUAGAAGCAGGGGGAAUGGUGUGGAGUGUACAGCCACAGGCCAGGCUGGAGUGGUUGGUUUUGACUAAAGUAGUAGGAGAAAAGACAGGGAAGCUAAGUGGAUGCCCAAGGUCUAUUUUGGAGGCAAAGCCAACAGAACUUGCCAAUAUAUUGAAUUUUUCUGUGGCUGGGGGAGAAAGAAGAAUGAGUCCUAUGGUAUUGUCUCCACAACUGGGUGGAUAGUGAUGCAGUGAAGAAAGCUAGAGAUGGAAAUAGAAAGAAUGUGUUUGCACAGGGAGAGAUGGGAAGAAUUAACAAGGGUUCUACUUUGGAUAAAACAGGUAGAGGAACAUAUAAGACAUCUAAGUCAAGAUGUUACUUUCUGCUAUCUAAUUCCACUGGCCUGAAUGGUGUCCACCAAAACCCACAAAUAUUAGGUGAUCUUCACAAAAGUCAAUAGAUCAACUAGAAAAUAAAUUUUUUAGAGAAAAUGUUAAAACUGAAUUUUGUUUAGGUUAUUACUACAUGCAAUAUGUGUGUAUGUCUAUACAGCAUAUGCAUAUAUAUAUAUGUAAAAUAUAUCAGUUGUGUAUAUAUACUCAUAUAAAUAAGGAGUGAAACUAUGAUGUGCUAGUUGUCUUAGUCUGUAUCAUCCAGUAUGGCUCUAAGUGACCUUGAGACUCAGUUUCACGACUCUCCAUCUACUUACUCAAGAGAGACAGCUUUGUGUUGACCACUCAUGCAUUUAGUACAUCUGCUUUACUGAGAUCUAUUUGUGUCUAAAACUAGGAGCUCUUUAAAGGUUUAAUGAUGUGUAAAAUACAGCAGCCUACAUGCUUGGGCUCAGAAAAAAAAUGUAUCAGGGAUGAUGAUGUCAUUAGGGAUAAGAGAUGUACAUUUUAUUGUGAGUUUGAAUUAUUUUUCUUUUCUUUUUCCCUUUUAAGUACAUUUUAUGCUAACUAGUGCUUUGCAUGAUUCAUAUGAUUCCUAAACUGCACAGUCGGUGAUUUCUGGACCAACUUGGAUUGACUUUCUACAGAUAAAGUGGAAAGGUGACAGGCCAGUAGUAGAGUAAAGCAGUAUAGAUAAAGUAGAAAUUAGAUAAAGUGGCCUUAAAUCAAAAAGAUAUUUUAAGUUAUGUCUUGAAGAUAAAGUUAUCUUAAGUUUUCCCUUCCAACUCUGUAAUCAAAGAGUAGCUUGCGGCCAAUUUUAUUAAUAGGCCAUUUAUUUGAAUUCACAUAAUUACCUACUAUGACAUCCAGAGCUGAAUGUUAUACCAUUCACUGUGAAUUCACAGCCACCACUUCAAGCUGCAGUAAAAGGACCCCGACCUCUCCUUCAUAGAAUCUGAAAUACACAAAGUUGAAAGUGUGUCUGAGGACCACUAACACAAGUACUUAACAAACAGAAUAAAAAGAACAGUUGUUCCUUGAUAUCAGGUAUCCAAAUUGUUCUCAGGAUCCAUCUGAUGCCAAAAUCCAUGGAUACACAAUUCCCUUAUAUAAAAUGCUAUAAUAUAUGCAUAUAACCUAUACACAUACUUCUAUAUACUUUAAAUCAUCUUCUGAUUACUCAUAAUAAGUAACACAAUGUAAAUGCUCUGUAAGUAGUUGUAAAGACCAUGUAAAUGCUAUAUAAGUAGUUGCCAGCGCUGCAAGUUUUUUGUUUGUUAACUUUCUAUAAUUUUAGAGGGUGGAGAUCGGUUUGUUGACCUGAUGUUGGUUGACUCUUUGGAUGAAGGCCAUCUGUAUAUGCCACGCCCAGAACAUAUUACCAAAGGAGGCCUGAGUCUGGGAUAGGCUGUGAGGGCUCUUUGUGUCUGAGUGAAGCAAUGUUCCAGGUUCAAGGUCCAUUCAUAUAUUAUCCAGCAGGGGUUAAAAUAUAGCAUGAAUGGGACUGCCUCUCCCAACACUGAGAAACAGUAAUCAUUAUGAGACUGAAAAAACUCAAUUCUUCUAAUUUUUAAUUUCUUUUGCUCUCUUAUAUUAGAAAAUACUAUGCUUUUUAGCUGUGUCUGUUAAAGUAACUGUGAUGAAAUUAAAAGAGAAUGGACUUUCUCUCCAGUUGAUCUCCUGAGUCCCUCUCAGUUACUUAAACUCUAUGAAACACAGUUUCAUAAUAUUAAGAUAGAAAUAACACCUGCCUAAAGAGAUGUAUAGGAUUAUGGAGUUCCCAUCAUCAUGGUUUAGCAGUUAACGAACCUAACUAGCAUGCAUGAGGACAUGGGUUCGAUCCCCGGCCUCACUCAGUGGGUUAAGGAUCUGGCGUUGCUGUGAGCUGUGGUGUAGGGUCACAGACACGGCUCAGAUUCCACAUUGCUGUGGCUCUGAUGUAGGCUGGCAGCUACAGCUCCAAUUCAACCUCUAGCCUGGGAACCUCCAUAUGCUGCUGGUAUGGCCCUGAAAAGCUAAAAAAACAAAAAAAGAGAUUUGUAGGAUUAAAUGAAAAUAUAUACUAAAAUUUUCCUAAAGCAAAAGUUUACCAGGUACCAGGAAAGUGAAUCUAUUCAUGGUUUUAACAGGAUGUAAAUUAGUCAAUAAGUCACCUGUUUUAUUCUUUACUCUCCUGACAAUUCCUUUCUGGUUGUGAUCAAAGGUAAAUCUUGCUAAUAGCAACAACAGUUUUCAAAUUCACUGCACAAAAGAAACUAAGAGGGAAGAUUCAAUUCCCAGCCUUUUAAGGAUUCCUUCUGACCCCACUUCUCAAGUUCUCAAAACUCUGUGCUUGUCAGCUUUGUCACUGAAGCACAAAUUAAGAACUCUCAACCACCACCAAGUAAUUAUGUCUCACUUCAUUGACAAAGUCUUCCAUUUGGCUUACAGAAUUUUGGUUCCCUUAAUUACAAGUAAAAACAAUCCUAGAAAGAACUUAUAGAAUAAGCCAUUUGAACUUUUGCCCUAAGGAGUCUUGAGAACCAAAUUUUAGCUCCUGGCUGACUGCAUCCAGAGUGGUCUGAAGGGAAAUCCAGCAUUUUCCAGACUAAGCCCAUACUUUGCAUCACUGCGUUCCUUUGCUGUUAGCUCCUGCCCUCUCUGCUUGAGGUGCUGACUUUGGCAAUUGCUCCAGAGGAACUGACUGUGUUCCAGGGCACUUUCUGAAAGUUUCAGGGAGGGAAGAAAGGUUUUUAUUCUUGUCUGUGCCAAAGAGGGCUUUGGGGGUAUUUUCUUCCUCAGCAACUCUUUAACUCUCCUCUUGUGAAGCAUCUUUCUGUGUGCUUUGCAGAGAAUGGAAUCUCACCAGAGGCCUUCUGAAAUGACUUCAGAAAAGUGUAGAUAGGAGUCCAACGUAAUACGGCUUCCCCUCCACUCCCCCACCAGGAAGCUGCAGGGCCGAACUUUCAACCUCUUUUUUGACUAUGCUCAGAUUUCCAUGUCAUAAAAGGCAUUUUUUAAAGUACAAAUUUGUAUAGUAUUAUGCAAAAUUAUUUCCACAAGCAGAGUAUUUUUACUUAAACAGACUUUCAUGUAAUAAUGGUGCUAUUAUAAAUAAAAUAAAAGUAAAAGAAAUAGCAUGUCUGGCUUAUUAUCAUUCAUGUCUAGUCUUUGUUCAUGAUUUGAUCAUUCUUCUGACAUCUGCGUGCAAUUUUACCACCGUGGAAGGGUACUCUUCAUGUUUUUAUAUGUAUGACAGUACUUUUUGUAGCAUAUCGUCACCUUCAGAUAUUGGUUAUACUCUUAACUUUAGGUUUAGCAGGCCUCUAUAAACUUAUGAAUGUUUAUAUAAUGGACUAUCUAUUUGAGAGUUUUAAUUCUUUAUGUUGUCCCUUGGUUUUUAAAAAUGCUUACCAAAUGUAUUAGGGAAUUCUAUUAUAUCUAGUGUGGAGGAAAAUGACAGUUCCUAGACAGUAAAAGGAAAAUAAAUCAUUUUGUAAUUAUGCACAAGGUGAUUUCUGUAUUUAUGAGCGCAUGAGAAACAUAUUUCUCUAAGUUUUCUAAUUUUCUGUGAAAGGAAUAUCCAUAAUAAUAAAACAGCCCUAAAAUAUAAAUGUAUAAAAUAGGCUACAAUAUUAUAUUUUAAAAGUCUUGAUGAUGGGAGUUCCCGUUGUGGUGCAGUGGAAGUGAUCCUGAUAGUAUCCAUGAGGAUAUGGGUUUGAUCCCUGGCCUCACUCAUUGGGUUAAGGAUCCCGUAUUGCUGUGGCUGCACUAUAGGCCAGCAGCUAUAGCUCUAAUUUGACCCCUAGCCUGGGAACUUCAAUAUGCUACGAGUGUGGCCCUAAAAAGCAAAAAAAAAAAAAAAA
rnacentral:lncRNA from 1 species